GCUGGCGUAUGCUGCCUGGCUGGUGGCUCAGUGUCUGAGUUAUCUCAAGGGUCUAGGUUAGUUGAGAAUUCUGGUCUUCCUAUGGGGUCACCCUCCUCAGCUUCUUCCAACUUCCCUAAUUCAACAGCAAGGGUCCAUAGGUUGGGUGCAAGUAUUUUCACCUGACUCUUUCAGCUGCUUGUUGGGCUACUCAGAGGCCUGCCAUGCUAGGCUCCUAUCUGCCUACCAUAGCAUCAGUAACAGUGUCAGGGCCUCAGGCCUCCCCUUGAGCUGGAUCCCAAGUUGGACCUGUCACUGGACCUCCUUUCUUUUAUGCUCUUCUCCAUUUUUGUUCCUGCAGUUUCUUCAAACAGGAACAAUUCCGGGUCAGAGCUUUUGACUGUGGGAUGGCAAAAGCUCCCUUGAGUCCUGAGAGUCUCUCACCUCCCUGGUCUCUGGUACAUUCUAGAGGGUCCCCCCACCUCCUACCUCCCAAGGUUGCCUGUUUCCAUUCUUUCUGCAGUCCCUAAAUUUUCAAUCUGAAAAUUAAGACAUAUACAUACACACACAUGCACACACAUGCACAACACACAUGAACAUAACACAUACACACAGAUAUGAACAUAACACACAUGCACACAUACACACACGUGCACACAUGUAUACACACACAAGCACACACAUAUACAUACACACACAGGCAAGCACGCACAUGUAUACACACAAUGAAUGUUUUUUUGUGUCCCUCAUUAGCUGACUAAUAAGCCAACCAAGUGUGUGAAGACAGAACGAUAGAAAAAAUAAUGCAGAAAGCUAUUGUCCACAGAAAAUGCACAAUGAAGUUAAAAUUAAAGACAUGAUAGAUAGAAAAAUACUUAGUUUUGAACAUCUGAUAAAUUCUUCAAUUGUUAGUAGUAUAGUGAUGAGCAGAGCUAUCUCCCAAUAAGUGUCUCAGUGUUCCUGUUCUGUAUAUCAAAAGUGGCUUCAGGCUUGCUAUCAUCUUAUACCAAUGUCCCAUGUGUAUUAUCUAUUUAUGUAUGCAUGUGUGAAUAUAUAUAUAUAUAUGUGUGUAUAUGCAUAUAUAUGUAUAUAUAUGUGUAUAUAUAUAUUUGUGUGUAUGUGUGCACUGAAUUUUGUUCAUGAAGAUAUCACAUGAUCCAGACACCCUAAGGUUACAAGUAAGAACAAUAAGAAAUAUGCUGCAAAUUUUUCAAGAAACUAUUCAUUUCUUGGUCCAUAGUCUUUCUAAUAAUUAAUAAUAUUCCAAAAGUAAUAGCAAAGCCCUGUAUUCAACGCUAAAAGUCUCCAAAGAAACGUACUUUCUUAACAAAUUACAAUACUAACAAACAACUAACCAUACCCGAUUGCAGCUGCAGAAGGUCUGAAUACGUACCUGCCACCCUUGAGAGUAAUUAGCUUUCUUGAGAGGGUCAAAGAAAGAAAUGGUAUCUAACUGUAUCUUAAGGGAAGACCAACAUUUAGUUACGCACCAAAUGAGAAGGGAAUUUAAGAGGUUAACAGGGUCUGCAGAUGCUAAAAAGCGAGACAGCAAGAUAAGGCUAAGCCACAUAGGCAAGGGGAGUAGCUACUGAUUCUUUGCUCAGUAUCUGGGUUUUUACUUGGAGCUAUUACAUUGUAGUGGUGACCUGACUUUUGAAUAACACCCGGUGGCUUCAGUGAUUUGUUGAACUCAUGCUCCUCUGCUCGGCAGGUGUCAUUCUGCAGUAGGCUGAGCUAGGUGCAUCCUUCUCAUGGUGGGUGCAGAAACUAUUACACAGACUAAAAGGCACAGACAUUUUCCUAAAACUACACUGAUGUCAUGUCUGCUAACCUUCCAGUGACCGAAGCCAGCCACAAGUGUAAUAGAGAGAUGACAUGCAUACUGGCAGGAAUAAAAG
rnacentral:lncRNA from 1 species